AGAGGUAAACGGGUGGAGUUGAACUGCAUGCUCCGUGAAUUCAGCUGGUGAGAUUGUUGUGGGCUUGGUCAUGUGGGGUGGACAAUGAGGUAUGCUUAGCUGCAUGUCCCGGCCGGCUGGUUGGGAUGCGCGAUACGCUCAUCAUGCGUUGCGCGCCUCUGCUGUUCAUCUGCCCUCUCGCCAGUGCAUUUUCGCGGAGUGUUCACCAAGACCGGCGUUGCUGUCCGGCUGCUUUAGUUAAACCGGUCUUACGCGUCCUUGUGGCGUUGUUUGGUCGGGACGGCAGGUAGCCCGUUGGCUUGCUUUGCAUGCUUUCGUGUGUAAUCAGCUGACUAAAGCGGGACUGUGCAGUACGUCGGAGCUGGCGGCCAGUUGUGCCUGCUCGUGCGUCAUGCCUUCCGAAGCAUCCAGUUCUGAUCGCCAUGUUGCCUGUCUCGGCAGGUCUGGUGGUGGACAGGGUUCUAUUGGUUGGUGGUUCCUCGGGUAGCACUUUAUAGAGCCAAUAGUCUUUGGUGUCGUGGUAGACUAUCCACCUGACCCGUCUUGAAACACGGACCAAGGAGAGUAACAUGUGCGCGAGUCAUUGGGCGUAACGAAACCCAAAGGCGCAGUGAAAGUAAAGGUCUGACUUGUUCAGUCUGAGGUGAGAUCCUGUUGUUUCUCAUGCCUGGUACCACCAAGCUUGGAGCGACAGGCGCAUCACCGGCCCGUCCCAUGAUGUAGACACGGUCAUUGUACUCGUGCACCGUCGGGGCGGAGCAUGAGCGCACAUGUUGAGACCCGAAAGAUGGUGAACUAUGCUUGCGCAGGUUGAA
rnacentral:rRNA from 1 species